rnacentral:rRNA from 1 species
UUCGCAAUGCCCGAAAGGGUGAACGAGCGACGCCGCGUGCAGGAUGAAGGACUUCGGUUUGUAAACUGCUUUUCUACGGGAAGAAGGCCCGGGUCGUGAACUUGGGUUUGACGGUACCGUGGGAAUAAGCCUCGGCUAACUCCGUGCCAGCAGCCGCGGUAAGACGGAGGAGGCGAGCGUUGUUCGGAAUUAUUAGGCGUAAAGGGCGCGUAGGCGGAUCGGUAAGUCUGGCGUGAAAUCUCCACCGCUUAACGGGGAGAGGUCGCUGGAAACUACCGAUCUGGAGUUCGGCAGAGGAUCAUGGAAUUCCAGGUGUAGCGGUGGAAUGCGUAGAUAUCUGGAAGAACACCGGUGGCGAAGGCGGUGGUCUGGGCCGAAACUGACGCUGAGGCGCGAAAGCCAGGGGAGCAAACGGGAUUAGAUACCCCGGUAGUCCUGGCCCUAAACGAUGGGCACUAAGUAGAGGGGUUUU